rnacentral:tRNA from 1 species
CCCCGACUAGAUCUGUUGAUAAAGCAUGAGACUCAUAAUCUCAGGGUAGUGGGUUCGUGUCCCACAUCGGGCA